UAGCAAUGUCACUUAAAACAAAGUCAGUUUAACAUAUGAAAUGCUGUAAAUCAGUUCAAUAUUUUAUCUUUUAAUAUACUACAUUAAUAUGUUUCAAAAACUAUUAGUUUUAUUACUUUUAAUUUAUGCAAACGGAAAAUCUGCAAAAUCUAUUAACGGAUAUGAAGAUAUUGAUCAAAACGAUGAACUAGCUGCAAUAAAAAGUGACCUAAAUGAUUUUUCUGAUCUAACAGUGAAAUUAGAACGGCCUCCAACUGCACCUAAUUUGAAUCAAAAUAUUGAGAAUACCAAUGAUAAAAAAGUUUUAUUGGGAGAUAUUCUUUUACAAACUAACCCUUACAAAAAAACCCAGCGAACUUCCAGCGAAAGUUCGCUGGAAAUUAAAAGAUCACUGGAAAUUUACUAAGAUCACUGGGUUUUCGCUGGAUUUCCAUGGAAACAUAAGACUUCGCUGGAAGUUUGCUGAAAAUCCAACGAAAAACUUCCAAUGAUCUUAAAGUUCGCUGGAAGUUUACUGGGUUUCUUGCGAAAUAUUUCGCGGUGAUGUAAAAAGCGUUGCUGUUACAACUUCUGCAAGCAGUUAAAACUUGGAAAAUUGAUAAUAUAGCUUCUUAAAAUAAUAUUUCAAAUUUUUGUAUAAAAGUAAUCCUUUUUAUUUUAUUUUUUGCAUCUAAUAGAUGAUCUAUAGUGUGAGUUUCAAUUAUUAUUAGUUCUACUCAAGUUACAAAACAAAAUCAUCUGGUAGUUUAAUGAUUAUAAUGGUUGCCAUUGGUGUUCUUCUCAAGGGAAGACACUGUACUGUUGUAAAUAAUCUUUUAUCUGCAAUCAGUGUGCCAAGCAAUAUAAGACAGACUCGAUGAUCAUUAAGUUGUAUAAAGCAUUGGAAAGGAUAAAAGUGAUAAAAUGCUAUUGGUUGGAAAUUGAUAAAUUAAUAAAAAAUGAUUGAUUCUAAUUGCGCGAAAAUAUGUUGAUUUUGGAUACUGCCUCUACCAUUAACAAAUUAAAAAUAAAAGAAGCACUUC
rnacentral:misc_RNA from 1 species